rnacentral:rRNA from 1 species
GACAGAGGUGCCGAGCGUUAGGCGGAAUCACUGGGCUUAAAGCGUGUGUAGGCGGGUCCGUAAGUACCUUGUGAAAUCCCACGGCUCAACCGUGGAACUGCUUGGUAUACUGCGGGUCUUGAGCCACCUAGGGGCAAGCGGAACAAACGGUGGAGCGGUGAAAUGCGUAGAUAUCGGAAGGAACGCCGGUGGCGAAAGCGAGUCGCUGGACCUCUUCUGACGCUGAGGCGCGAAAGCGUGGGGAGCGAACCGG